UUGCGGACAGUGUCUGGUGGGUAGUUUGACUGGGGCGGUCUCCUCCCAAAGCGUAACGGAGGAGCACGAAGGUUAGCUAAUCCUGGUCGGACAUCAGGAGGUUAGUGCAAUGGCAUAAGCUAGCUUGACUGCGAGCGUGACGGCGCGAGCAGGUGCGAAAGCAGGUCAUAGUGAUCCGGUGGUUCUGAAUGGAAGGGCCAUCGCUCAACGGAUAAAAGGUACUCCGGGGAUAACAGGCUGAUACCGCCCAAGAGUUCAUAUCGACGGCGGUGUUUGGCACCUCGAUGUCGGCUCAUCACAUCCUGGGGCUGAAGUAGGUCCCAAGGGUAUGGCUGUUCGCCAUUUAAAGUGGUACGCGAGCUGGGUUUAGAACGUCGUGAGACAGUUCGGUCCCUAUCUGCCGUGGGCGCUGGAGAAUUGAGGGGGGCUGCUCCUAGUACGAGAGGACCGGAGUGGACGCAUCACUGGUGUUCGGGUUGUCAUGCCAAUGGCACUGCCCGGUAGCUAAAUGCGGAAGAGAUAAGUGCUGAAAGCAUCUAAGCACGAAACUUGCCCCGAGAUGAGUUCUCCCUGAGACUUUAAGUCUCCUGAAGGAACGUU
rnacentral:rRNA from 1 species